CCCUUAGAUGUCCUGGGCUGCACGCGCGCUACACUGAUGUGUCCAGUAAGCACCUAACCUCUUCCGAAAGGAACGGGUAACCUUUGCAAAGCACAUCGUGAUGGGGAUAGAUUAUUGCAAUUAUUAGUCUUGAACGAGGAAUUCCUAGUAAGCACAAGUCAUCAGCUUGUGUUGAUUACGUCCCUGCCCUUUGUACACACCGCCCGUCGCUCCUACCGAUUGAAUGUUCCGGUGAGCUCUUCGGACUGCGCGGUCUGCAGUUUCUGCGUUCCGUGCGGAAAGUUGCGCAAACCUUAACAUUCAGAGGAAGGAGAAGUCGUAACA
rnacentral:rRNA from 1 species